rnacentral:lncRNA from 1 species
CACCUGGAAUCUUGCAGACCAACUGCCUGUGCUUGGGUUUGACCUACCAAAAUGAAGCUCCGAAUGUGAUGUACCAGAGGGGAGAAUAUGCAAAGGAAGAAAGAGUGAAUUACAUGAAGAUGUCAUUGUUAGAGCUGCCCGAAACAUCUGUGAUGUUCAAGAUCAUAUGUGUUUGCCAGACUGUGUUAGGAUGGGGUCUGACUCAAUACCGUCUGACAGUAUAAGGUGGAUAAAGUAGAAGUUCAAAAAUACUACUUCCAGCUGUAGGAACUAUCACUGUCAUCUGUGCUGACGAGCAGGGCGAUGUGGUGGUGAGCGCCUUGAAGAGCUCUGUGUCGAGCUGACAGUUCUAACUGAA